rnacentral:rRNA from 1 species
AUAUACGACCGUACCGCAAACCGACACUGGUGCGCGAGAUGAGUAUUCUAAGGCGCUUGAGAGAACUCAGGAGAAGGAACUCGGCAAAUUGACACCGUAACUUCGGAAGAAGGUGUGCCCUAUUAGUGUGUAGUGAACAACGAAGCAUGAAUGGGUUGCAAAAAAUCGGUGGCUGCGACUGUUUAUUAAGAACACAGCACUCUGCAAACACGAAAGUGGACGUAUAGGGUGUGACGCCUGCCCGGUGCUGGAAGAUUAAAUGAUGGGGUGCAAGCUCUUGAUUGAAGUCCCAGUAAACGGCGGCCGUAACUAUAACGGUCCUAAGGUAGCGAAAUUCCUUGUCGGGUAAGUUCCGACCUGCACGAAUGGCGUAACGAUGGCCACACUGUCUCCUCCUGAGACUCAGCGAAGUUGAAAUGUUUGUGAUGAUGCAAUCUCCCCGCGGAAAGACGGAAAGACCCCAUGAACCUUUACUGUAGCUUUGUAUUGGACUUUGAACAGAUCUGUGUAGGAUAGGUGGGAGGCUUUGAAGCAGGGUCGCUAGAUCUUGUGGAGCCAACGUUGAAAUACCACCCUGGUGUGUUUGAGGUUCUAACCUAGGUCCAUUAUCUGGAUCGGGGACAGUGCAUGGUAGGCAGUUUGACUGGGGCGGUCUCCUCCCAAAGCGUAACGGAGGAGUUCGAAGGUACGCUAGUUACGGUCGGACAUCGUGACGAUAGUGCAAUGGCAUAAGCGUGCUUAACUGCGAGACUGACAAGUCGAGCAGAUGCGAAAGCAGGACAUAGUGAUCCGGUGGUUCUGUAUGGAAGGGCCAUCGCUCAACGGAUAAAAGGUACUCCGGGGAUAACAGGCUGAUACCGCCCAAGAGUUCAUAUCGACGGCGGUGUUUGGCACCUCGAUGUCGGCUCAUCUCAUCCUGGGGCUGUAGCCGGUCCCAAGGGUAUGGCUGUUCGCCAUUUAAAGAGGUACGUGAGCUGGGUUUAAAACGUCGUGAGACAGUUUGGUCCCUAUCUUCCGUGGGCGCUGCAGAUUUGAGGAAGCCUGCUCCUAGUACGAGAGGACCGGAGUGGACACACCUCUGGUGUAUCGGUUGUCACGCCAGUGGCAUUGCCGAGUAGCUAAGUGUGGAAGAGAUAACCGCUGAAAGCAUCUAAGCGGGAAACUCGUUUCAAGAUGAGAUCUGCCGGGGCCUUGAGCCCCCUAAAGAGUCGUUCAAGACCAGGACGUUGAUAGGUCAGGUGUGGAAGC